CCCGGUGUUCCACCCUCCUGGAGCACACUAGGAGGCGCGGCGAGCUUGUUUUUUCCUCAGGGAUUCCGCUUCUCCCGUGAGAUCCUUGCAGGCUGUUCCAGCGCCAUGUGCCGGGACUCCGCGCUUCCUGACCUGUCCUGCCCCAGGAGCACCGCGACUCUCGGGCUGAGUGCUGUUGGGAUGGCACCGUGUCCCAGGGAUAUCAAGGGACAUAGACCUGCCCACAGCACCCCCAGGCCGUGCUGUGGAGGUGAGCAAGGAGCCAGGAGCUGCCUGCCCCAAGUGCCUACCUCAUCCAAGGAGUGUCAGGGGACACAGGAGCUGCAGGCAGUGCCUGGUACAGAGGGGACUCCACUGCCUUGUGCUGCUGCCUCAGCUGCAGCCACAGCCUGUGGGCCCUCAGAGCAGGGCAGCCCAGAAGAGCCAGGCUCACCCUCAUCUCACUUCUGCUGUCAGGAAUGGGACUGAGAGAGACCCUUCAUGCAGUGAGGAGCAUGUGACAUGUGUUUAAUCAGCAAGGGAAGAGGCCAGGCUCCUUGCUGAGUAGAGCUCCCUGUAGAGGACAACCCGUGUGGCUUCUGGGUGACAGACACCCUGGCUCCAGCUGAUAGACACCCCAGCUAGUUUGGAUUAGAGCUGCUCCUGGUUUUCAAAGCUCUGACUGAUAAAUGCUCCAGCUGCUUACAAUUCAAAGUAUUUGAUGCUCUAAGUGAUUUCAACUCCUGCCUCUUCCAGCUCCAGAUCACAGUUGUGGCUGCUCUGCUGUUGAGGUACAAGAUGCUCCUACCAGCAGAUGUCCUCCCCUUGUUACACCCUGAGUUAGGGACACCUGGGCUUCUCUUGAGUUUCAGGUGAUUCCAGCUCCUGGAUGUGGGAUGCUAAUUACAGGCAGUGGGUGUUCCACCUCAGGUUAUUUGAAGCCCUGAGCUAUUUUGGCUCCAGCACACGCCAAAGAAGAGGUGCUCCCACUGCUUUCGGAGGCAGAAAUUAAGUAAGUUGGGGGAUGUUUGCAAACAGUCUGAAGGACUCCCAGAAAUGGGAGACAGCCUGUCUCACAAAGCACACUGGUAAGGUCUGAAAGGCCUCCAAGACUGAGUCCUACUAUCAACCUAACACUGCCAUGUUCACCACUCAACCACAUCCCCAAGUGGUGCCACAUCUGCUCAUUUUGUUAACACUUUCAGGGUUGGUGAUUCCACCACUUGGGCAACCUGUUCUAAUUCCUGAUCACCCUUUCCAUGAAGAAAUUUCUCCUAAUAUCCAAUCUAAAGCUCCUCUGGCACGACUUGAGGACAUUUCAUUUCCUCUCAUCUGUCACUUUUUUACCUGGGAGAAGAGAUUGAUCCUCACCUCUCUACAAACUCCUUCCAGGUAGAGAGCAAAAAGUUCUCUCCUAAGCCUCCUUUUUUCCAGGCUAAACAUCUCCAGCUCUGCACUGAUCCCACAGGGACAUGAGAUGAUGCAGUGGGGCACGACCCUGAGCAUCAGAUCAGACACUCCCUUCUCUCUUCAGGACUAAUGCAGUGCCUGGCCCCUAGGCAGGUUUGUGUUUUGGGAUCCUGUGCAGUGUGAUCUGGGAGAGCAGUCAGUCACCAGAGGGCACCAGGGAAGAAGGAUGCUGAGAGCUCCACUUGUUUCUCUGCUUCACAGCUCAGCACAUGAAGGAGGGACUGUUCUUCAGCACUGCCCUGCUGCUUCUGCUGCUGCUGUUUGUCCACAGGCAAUUUCACCAUAACAAAACAUUUCUGCUCUGGCACAAGAUCACAACAAUUUAGCAGUGAGGAGGAAAAAUCUCAGUCACUGGUACUUAUUAGAACAGCUAUUAAUGGAUGUAAAAACUGAGGGUAUCUAUCAAGUUGUCCUUGCCCUUUGUUUGUGUUCAGGACGUUUCACAGAGUGUGCAGUGCUUGCCAUUGGGAUGCUUCAACUCCCUCCCUGGGACUUGCUGUCUCAAUGAAAUCAGAGAGCUGGGGAAGAAAACAUGACUGCAGACAUGGAAAGUUGUUAGAAGAAUCUGAUGUUAGCAGCUUAAUAGACUGUUGUGUUCACUGAGAGGAAACAGAGGCCUUAGAUAUUUCCCAGGUGUGUUAAUUCUCAGCUAAGACAGGUUUUGGCCUGCAAAGCAAGGUAGAGUCAAAACACCUGUAAGACAAAGCAGGGUUGUGAAGGAUUAUAUCUCUAAGCCUAAAUUCAGGAGGUUGGAACACAUCAGUAAAAUGCAGCUCACUCUGAGCAGCAGGGAACCUGCUAGGAAAUCUCCCACUCAAGUAAAAUAUAUGAUGUUAACAUCAUAGUGAUUUAAUUGGUACUUUUCUGGGGCACAGUUUAAGUCAUUUGUUAUGGGAAUGUUAAACCUUACAAGGGAAAGGCCCAUCAUGUUAUUUCCAGGGCUAAUGAGACAGACCAAAUGAUUCCUGAGAGGUUUGACACCAAGCUGGAAAUACUGCACAGUAUCAUGCCAGCCUGAUCUGCAGCUCAGGAGGAUUCCUGGUAAGCAUCAUGUUGAUCAACAUUAGAUUCAAUAUCUACAUCCUUUCCUUCAGGUUUAUCACCUUGAGUUUUUCAAUAGCAAUUACUCAUACAAGAUAUGUUUCUUCUCCUUGUAAUAAAGUUUUAUCCUGUUGUUAAACAUUGCCUCCGAGUGCUGAGGUGAAAGCUCAGAGCUUCAUUCAAGUCCAAACAAAGAAGGGGCACAGUUCAGGGCACACCUUGGUUGGUGUUGCUGCUGUGCAGAUUUCACCUUUCGUUUUGGUUAAUGGACAGCUGGUGGUGACCUCUGCCAGAUUUAAUAUUUAAACACAGCAUGCAAGCUGUCUCGAAGGACUGUCUGAUAAGGUGAUACCUCACUUAUGGUGUGUUUAACAUCUCAGGGUUUUUAUGUUGUGAACUGAGCAAAGCUCACAUGUGUGUUAUGGCUGUGCCUCACAUAUGACCAAGCACAAAACAGAAGUGUGUAAGGUUGAACUCUCUAUUUGACCAGUUGCUAACAUUAAGUAAUUCUGCAAUACACCACACGUUUGUCCAAAGAUAGAUGAGGGAAAAUUUAUGAUCACUUUUUGUGCAUUA